rnacentral:rRNA from 1 species
CGUCAUCACGAGCGCUGCGCCGCCGGGCAGUUCCAUGUAGUAUGGGAUCUUGAGUGUAUUCGUAUCCGACGUCAGCGAUGCUGCAGGCCGUCCACUAGCAUGCGCGGGCAAUUAUGAUGCACGCGAGAUCUAGGUAGUGAAUCCGUCAGCUCAACUCGAGUGUACACGGCAUUGGGAGACUACCUCGCCUUUGUAGUGCCCGCAUGAGAGCGGGUUGGAAUUCCGCCGCGUGUAAGCGGGUGUAAAAUGCGUAUCAGCAUCCUGAGAGGAACAUCCUGUUGCGGCAGGCGGGCCCCUCCUGGGAAUCGCACUCCACGCUGAGGCGCGAAAAGCUGUGGGGAGCAAACGGGAUUUACAUACCCCGGUAGCGCCAGCCCUAAACGAUUGGCGCUCAGGUGUGGGAGGUAUUGAUCCCUUACCGCGCCGCAAGCUAACGCAUUAAGCGCGCCGCCUGGGGAGUGACGACCGCAAGGCUGAAACUCAAAGGAAUUGACGGUUUCACUACUGAAUCCCGGCCGCCUGCAGUCGACCCUCCGUGGCGGCCGGCAGCUCGUGAACUACGGGCGCCCAUGCGAGCUGCUGUG